rnacentral:rRNA from 1 species
AGCAGCCGCGGUAAUUCCAGCUCCAAUAGCGUAUAUUAAAGUUGUUGCAGUUAAAAAGCUCGUAGUUGAAUUUCGGGGUUAGUAGGUUGGUCAUGCCUCCGGUAUGUACUGGUCUCACUGAUUCCUCCUUCCUUAUGAACCGUAAUGCCAUUAAUUUGGUGUUGCGGGGAAUUUGGACUGUUACUUUGAAAAAAUUAGAGUGUUUAAAGCAAGCUAACGCUUGAAUACAUUAGCAUGGAAUAAUGAAAUAGGACGUUCGAUCCUAUUUUGUUGGUUUCUAGGAUUGACGUAAUGAUUAAUAGGGAUAGUUGGGGGCAUUAGUAUUCAAUUGUCAGAGGUGAAAUUCUUGGAUUUAUUGAAGACUAACUACUGCGAAAGCAUUUGCCAAGGAUGUUUUCAUUAAUCAAGAACGAAAGUUAGGGAUCGAAGACGAUCAGAUACCGUCGUAGUCUUAACCAUAAACUAUGCCGACUAGGGAUCGGAUGAUGUUAUUUUUAAUGACUCAUUCGCGCUUACGGGA